CUCACAGGGCUAAAGCAUCGCAGAUCCCAGCGCAGUCCAGCUGUCCAAACGCAGAAACACGCCUGCUCCCAGCUCCAAGAUGACCACCGCCAGCGAGAAAGCCCUCGUCUCUUCCAUCUGGAAGAAGGCCGCAGACUUUACAGAGGAGUGGGGCGAAGACGCAUUGCUAAGGCUGCUGACGGUCUUCCCUCAGACCAAGACCUACUUCACCAACGUGGACAUCACCCCUGGCUCGGCCAAGCUGCGGGCGCACGGAGGCAAGGUGAUGACGGCCCUGGCCCAGGCCGCGGCCGACAUCGACAACAUAUCCUCCGUGCUCAGCAGCCUCAGCGACCUGCACGCCUACAUCCUCAGGGUCGACCCCGUCAACUUCAAGCUGCUGGCCCACUGCAUCCUGGUCGUCCUCGCCAACCGCCUGCCCGCCGAGUUCACCCCGGAGGCGCACGUGGCCUGCGACAAGUUCCUGGUCCGCGUGGCCGAGGUGCUCUCCCAGAAGUACCGGUGAGCCGCGAGCCACCUGGAGCUCUGAGGGUGCCUGGGGGGACCCCCCCCCCCCCCCCAUUCCGAGCCAGCAGGGGGGGCGAAGCUGGGACACAUCACCGCGUCCGAGAGCCUGGACUUUGAAUGGUUGAUGCCGCUGUUUGAUCCUCUUGUGCUGUGCCAUCAUGUGCAAAAAAAAAAAAACAUCCUUUUUUAAAAAUGUCUAACUGUUUUCAGGCACCCUGAAACCUAAUCUUGGAGCUUUACAAUAAAAACAUUUUUUUUAAAUAA